GGAAGAGUGGGAAACGACUGGUGUGUGGGGGGAGUAGGUGGAGGGUCUGGAGAAGCCCCUGGGUGUGAGUCAUAACAAUGCCACUGAAUACAAAUUGGAAACUGAGGCCCGGAAAGUGAAGGAAGAAGAGAUGGCCACACCUCGGCCAGCACCACCAAGCCCAUCUGGUCCUUGCCCACAAAGCAACCCAGCUCCAAGCUCUGGCCCUCCCGGGGAACUCUGAUUUCCUUCCUCUCACCUGCAACUGGAAGUUCUCCUGGGUCUUCCCUGGGCUUGGGCCUUUACGGAUCCAAGCUGGAAAGGCUGCCAGGCUUUGUCACAGCCUCAGGCCCAGGCCCAGGAGCAGCUGCCAGGGCCAGCUGCGGCUGGCUUCAAGGACUUGAAUCUACACCCUGGGGAGAAGAAUCCUAGUUUCUUACUUGACUGCACUCAAGGUCCUGUAUGGUACUAUUUCACAGGAAGCCUCUGGAGCCAAAAAGUACCAUCCUAAUGUCAUCAGUCACCUGUCCAUGCAGACAGCGUUGGCUGAGGAAGACUUGUCCAAUCCUUGGUUUGAGAACUACGAGCCACAAAGCCAAAGUGAAGUGACUGAUUGGGCUCUGAGAGAAUGGGGCCAGAAAGAAAAGAUGCUUCAUCUCAGAGAACAGGAGAGAGAAAGCCCAACUUCAAAAGGGGAGGGGAAGCCAGGCAUGGUGGCACACUCCUUUAAUCCCAGCACUUGAGAGGCAGAGGUAGGAGGAUCGCCGUGAGUUCAAGGCCACCCUGAGACUACAUAGUUAAUUCCAGGUCAAUCUGGGCUAAACCCUAGUCCAAAGAAACAAAAUUUAAAAGGGGGGAAGGGAGAAAGACCCCUAGAAUUGUGGCUCCCCAUCUGACUUCCCUUGGCUGAGUCCUCCAAAGCCUAUAUACAUCCCUCACUAGUAGCAUGAGGUGCCCAGAGGUCUAUGUGGGUGGAAAUUCCAUUGUCACAGCCUCCUUUCAGCCUUUCUAAGGUGUCACUUGGGAUCCCGGAAUGCUAUCUCCUAAUCUAUUCCACAGACAAGUUAUUAUAAUGAGUUUGUGGUGACUGGAUUUGACAAUCAGAGCUGUGAGAGGUGUGUGAAGAGCAUAGCUCACUCCCUCUAAGCCCUUACAUGCAGGGGAGAGCUAGGCACGUGUGUGUAGUAGUGACCAAAGGCAGCACUGUAGACAGCUAGGAGGAAAGGGCUGUGGGAGCCAGGGGCUAGGCGGCUGUGAGAUCUUCCUGAAUGGGGCGCGGGAGCAGACUGAAUGGUGCCUCCUGGAAGAUGGCAGCUUGAAGUGGGCCUUAGGUCAGGUUAAGAUUCCCUGAGGUGAAGCCAAGGCAUUGGCUGAGGCCUAGAGGGGGAGGAUCAGGGCAGAGAGCUGCCAGCAUGGGAGUGUGCCAUUGCAGCUGACUGGAAUCAAGGGCUGUCCCUAUGAGGAGCAGCAGAAAGGCGACUUGUACUUGCAUGUUUGUAGUUCGCCUUGUUCUGAGGUGAGGAGGAAGGCUCAGGGCUUUGAGCUGGGAAAUGACAUGAUUAGAUUUUUUUUUAAAGUAGUUUCUAGGGCUGGAGAGAUGGCUCAGUGGUUGAAGGUACUUGCUUGAGUGGCUUCUAACAGAAGCACAUGGGAAGUUCAGGGAAAUGGUGGAGGGGAGAAAGGAGUUAAUCCUGACUUUAUAUUCCUAUCCACAUCACUCUGGUGGCUCACCUCUGGUGAUCCACACUGAGAAAACCGGGGUCCUCAUAAAAAUGAACUCAAAAAGCUAUCAAAACAGAAGCUGUAGUUGAAAAGUGAAGGAUUUUAAUGGAAUGGAGAGCGGGGAGGGAGGACUAAAGUAAUGGAGAGGAUUGUGGCCAAAUUACAAUAUGUGCACCUAUGAAAGUUUUUUUAAUAAAACCAAACAAACACAGGGCUGGAGAGAUGGCUUAGCAGUUAAGGUGCUUGCCUAUAAAGCCUGAGGACUCAGGUUU